GUUAGAUAUUUGUAUAAGUGGUGUGUGAUGAUUUUUCUUGUUUAUAGAUAAGGAAGAGAAGGACAAGGGGAUGACACAAGUCGACGAACACCCUGGAAGUUGAAUAUCAAGAAAUUGUGUUGAGGUGUGUAGAGUCGACUAGCUGAUUUUCAAGUGGCAGCUCUAGUGUGGGUUAGUUGACGGGAGUCCAGGCGUACACUUCUUUUGGGUGAGCUGCCAAAGUGUUUGUAUAGUUAGUUUCUGUUUGUAAAUGAUCAUUUUGUGGCGUAGUAGACUAAAAUGAUGUCGACCUCGGUGGGUUGGAGAUUCUACUUACCUGGGCUAUGAAAACCAUGUAUAUAUAACUACUCGUCUUUUGGCUUGUAUAGUUUUGCUCAUGUACAUUUUCCUCAAAUAGCAUGAAAAUGUUUUCUUGUUAGAAGCCCUAAAGGUCUUUUGUGAACUUAUUUUAAUCUGUAAGGUUUUAUGAAUGGCUCUUGAAGAACCA